ACAUCCUGCCCUGUCAGGCGCCCUGCCUGUGCAAACGGUUGGUGGCGGGCCCGCCAAA
rfam:Trypanosoma cruzi strain CL Brener tcruzi_1047053497859, whole genome shotgun sequence.